UACGUAGGGUGCGAGCGUUGUCCGGAUUUAUUGGGCGUAAAGGGCUCGUAGGCGGCCUGUCGCGUCGGGAGUGAAAGCCCACUGCUUAACGGUGGGUCUGCUUCCGGUACGGGCGGGCUGGAGUAUGGCAGGGGAGACUGGAAUUCCUGGUGUAGCGGUGGAAUGCGCAGAUAUCAGGAGGAACACCGGUGGCGAAGGCGGCUUGCUGGGCCAGUUCUGACGCUGAGGAGCGAAAGCGUGGGGAGCGAACAGG
rnacentral:rRNA from 1 species